ensembl:lncRNA RNASEH2B-AS1 RNASEH2B antisense RNA 1
GCAACUUAACACCUCUUGAGUAGAAAAUUUGAGACUCUUCUAAAUGCUGGAAACAAUAGAUGUUUGGUUUUUAGUAAAAAGAGAAAAAAGAAAAAAAAAACUGGGUGGGGCACGGGAGAAGAAUUCAGUGCCAAAUAACCUUCAGCAAUGCUUAGUGGUAAUUAGAGCAGACAGACAUUGUAUUAAAGGUAGUGGAAGAAUAUUUUCUCCUCUAUAUUAUUAAAAAUCUGUAAGAUUGCUUCUUUCAAAACAAAAUUAAAAUUAAAAUCCAUGUUUAUCAUCAUUUUUCUCAGGAGAAAAAGUUGUUCUCUUCUACCAAAUUUUCCUGCCAUCAAAUGCUCAUUGAGUGACAAUAGAGAAAGCACCAUCAUCCUGAAGCAUCAGAUUGGGAGAAAAGUCCGCUCUCGAGAGCAUCAACUAUGUAGAAAGGGGACCAGCUUCUGCAAAAGACUUGAGACAGCUCACAAUGAAGUACUCUGUAUUAGGCAGGGUAAUAUUGAUUGCAAGUGACAGAAACCCAAUCAGAAACUCACUGGAGUCAUGAGGAACACUUAUUGGCUCAGAGUAAAGGCAAAAUAGACCUUCAGAGAAAUAAAGUCUGGGAAAUUGACUAGAUCCUCACUGAAAGAACUACUAAAGGAUGUACUUAUGGAAGAA